rnacentral:rRNA from 1 species
GUAAUGUCUGGGAAACUGCCUGAUGGAGGGGGAUAACUACUGGAAACGGUGGCUAAUACCGCAUAACGUCGCAAGACCAAAGAGGGGGACCUUCGGGCCUCUUGCCAUCAGAUGUGCCCAGAUGGGAUUAGCUAGUUGGUGAGGUAACGGCUCACCAAGGCGACGAUCCCUAGCUGGUCUGAGAGGAUGACCAGCCACACUGGAACUGAGACACGGUCCAGACUCCUACGGGAGGCAGCAGUGGGGAAUAUUGCACAAUGGGCGCAAGCCUGAUGCAGCCAUGCCGCGUGUAUGAAGAAGGCCUUCGGGUUGUAAAGUACUUUCAGCGGGGAGGAAGGUGUUGUGGUUAAUAACCGCAGCAAUUGACGUUACCCGCAGAAGAAGCACCGGCUAACUCCGUGCCAGCAGCCGCGGUAAUACGGAGGGUGCAAGCGUUAAUCGGAAUUACUGGGCGUAAAGCGCACGCAGGCGGUCUGUCAAGUCGGAUGUGAAAUCCCCGGGCUCAACCUGGGAACUGCAUUCGAAACUGGCAGGCUUGAGUCUUGUAGAGGGGGGUAGAAUUCCAGGUGUAGCGGUGAAAUGCGUAGAGAUCUGGAGGAAUACCGGUGGCGAAGGCGGCCCCCUGGACAAAGACUGACGCUCAGGUGCGAAAGCGUGGGGAGCAAACAGGAUUAGAUACCCUGGUAGUCCACGCCGUAAACGAUGUCUACUUGGAGGUUGUGCCCUUGAGGCGUGGCUUCCGGAGCUAACGCGUUAAGUAGACCGCCUGGGGAGUACGGCCGCAAGGUUAAAACUCAAAUGAAUUGACGGGGGCCCGCACAAGCGGUGGAGCAUGUGGUUUAAUUCGAUGCAACGCGAAGAACCUUACCUGGUCUUGACAUCCACAGAACUUUCCAGAGAUGGAUUGGUGCCUUCGGGAACUGUGAGACAGGUGCUGCAUGGCUGUCGUCAGCUCGUGUUGUGAAAUGUUGGGUUAAGUCCCGCAACGAGCGCAACCCUUAUCCUUUGUUGCCAGCGGUCCGGCCGGGAACUCAAAGGAGACUGCCAGUGAUAAACUGGAGGAAGGUGGGGAUGACGUCAAGUCAUCAUGGCCCUUACGACCAGGGCUACACACGUGCUACAAUGGCGCAUACAAAGAGAAGCGACCUCGCGAGAGCAAGCGGACCUCAUAAAGUGCGUCGUAGUCCGGAUUGGAGUCUGCAACUCGACUCCAUGAAGUCGGAAUCGCUAGUAAUCGUGGAUCAGAAUGCCACGGUGAAUACGUUCCCGGGCCUUGUACACACCGCCCGUCACACCAUGGGAGUGGGUUGCAAAAGAAGUAGGUAGCUUAACCUUCGGGAGGGCGCUUACCACUUUGUGAUUCAUGACUGGGGUGAAGUCGUAACAAGGUAACCGUAGGGGAACCUGCGGUUGGA